rnacentral:rRNA from 1 species
GCAGUCUGCAACUCGACUGCAUGAAGCCGGAAUCGCUAGUAAUCGCGGAUCAGAAUGCCGCGGUGAAUACGUUCCCGGGUCUUGUACACACCGCCCGUCACACCAUGGGAGUCGGAAAUGCCCGAAACCGGUGGCCUAACCGAUAAGGGAGGAGCCGUCGAAGGCAGGUCUGAUGACUGGGGUGAAGUCGUAACAAGGUAGC